rnacentral:lncRNA from 1 species
GCUGAGAUCGUGCCACUGCACUCCAACCUGGGCAACAGAGUGAGGCUUCAUCUCAAACAAAAACAAAAACAAAAACAAACCCUGAAAAAUGGCCAGUGUUCAAGGAGACUGCAUUUGUCAUUAUAGCUGACAACAAAGAUGGUGAUUUUUUAAAAAAGAUAAGUGAGUAGGAUGAAAACCAUGCUGCAGAGGUAAGGACAGGAGUGAUGAUGGGGAAGCAACAUAGAUAGAGGUCUGUCACAAAAAUAAAGUGGAUAGAAAUUGACUGGAAGCCAGAGUGGUACUAAGGUCAAGUAAAGCUCUUUGUCAAAGUAGGAGAUGCACAUUAUUAAAACUAAAGGAGAAAGAAAUGGAAUGGAGAAGAAAGGAACAAGUAAGGAGCAAAAUGAUCAAUCAAAUGAUCGGGGUGAAGCUAGCACUUCUGAGAGUCUGCUGAGAUGGAAAUUUGGAGAGAUGUCUGUAGAAGUGGAAGAAAAUAGGGUGAGAUGAAGAUAAGAAACAAUGAGGGAUAGCCUUGAUCUUUUUAUUUUAAGAACAAGGUGAGCUCACCAGCUGAAAAAAAGGAGAAGGCAGGAAAGUAUUUAAGGCUGGGAAAUAACCUAAGUCUGUUGCAGCUGAAUUGAGAACGAUGAAAAUACUCUUUCCACAAAACCAUCUACAUAAACCUAACUGCUUACAAGGUAUCUUCC